GACAGAGGGUGCAAACGUUGUUCGGAAUUACUGGGCGUAAAGCGCGUGUAGGCGGCAGGGCAAGUCGGAUGUGAAAUCCCGUGGCUCAACCACGGAAGUGCACCCGAAACUGCCCAGCUAGAGUCUCGGAGAGGAAAGUGGAAUGCUUGGUGUAGAGGUGAAAUUCGUAGAUAUCAAGCGGAACACCGGUGGCGAAGGCGGCCUUCUGGACGAUGACUGACGCUGAGACGCGAAAGCGUGGGGAGCAAACAGG
rnacentral:rRNA from 1 species